UAAGGAAUAUUGGUCAAUGGACGCAAGUCUGAACCAGCCAUGCCGCGUGGAGGAUGAAGGCCCUCUGGGUUGUAAACUUCUUUUAUAUGGGACGAAACCCUCUCAUUCUUGAGAGACUGACGGUACCAUAGGAAUAAGCACCGGCUAACUCCGUGCCAGCAGCCGCGGUAAUACGGAGGGUGCAAGCGUUAUCCGGAUUCACUGGGUUUAAAGGGUGCGUAGGAGGGCAGGUAAGUCAGUGGUGAAAUCCCCGAGCUUAACUUGGGAACUGCCGUUGAUACUAUCUGUCUUGAAUAUUGUGGAGGUGAGCGGAAUAUGUCAUGUAGCGGUGAAAUGCUUAGAUAUGACAUAGAACACCAAUUGCGAAGGCAGCUCGCUACACAAAAUAUUGACUCUGAGGCACGAAAAGCGUGGGGAUCAAAACAGGAUAGAUACCCUGGUAGUCCACGCCCUAAAACGAUGGAUACUCGACGUACGCGAUACACAGUGUGUGUCUGAGCGAAAAGCAUUAAAGUAUCCCAACCUGGGGAAAGUACGACCGCAAGGUUGAAAACUUAAAGGAAUUGACGGGGUCAUAGCUGUUUCCU
rnacentral:rRNA from 1 species